rnacentral:rRNA from 1 species
CCUACGGGUGGCUGCAGUGAGGAAUAUUGGUCAAUGGACGAGAGUCUGAACCAGCCAAGUAGCGUGAAGGAUGACUGCCCUAUGGGUUGUAAACUUCUUUUAUAUGGGAAUAAAACGUUCCACGUGUGGGAUUUUGUAUGUACCAUAUGAAUAAGGAUCGGCUAACUCCGUGCCAGCAGCCGCGGUAAUACGGAGGAUCCGAGCGUUAUCCGGAUUUAUUGGGUUUAAAGGGAGCGUAGGUGGAUUGUUAAGUCAGUUGGGAAAGUUUGGGGGUCAACCGUAAAAUUGCAGUUGAAACUGGCAGUCUUGAGUACAGGAGAGGUGGGCGGAAUGCGUGGUGUAGCGGUGAAAUGCAUAGAUAUCACGAAGAACUCCGAUUGCGAAGGCAGUUCACUGGACCGCAACUGACACUGAGGCUCGAAAGUGUGGGUAUCAAACAGGAUUAGAUACCCCUGUAGUC